UACAGAGGUCUCAAGCGUUGUUCGGAUUCAUUGGGCGUAAGGGUGUGUAGGUGGCGCCGUAAGUCGGGUGUGAAAUUUCGGAGCUUAACUCCGAAAACUGCAUUCGAUACUGCGGUGCUUGAGGACUGGAGAGGAGACUGGGAAUUCAUGGUGUAGCAGUGAAAUGCGUAGAGAUCAUGAGGAAGACCAGUGGCGAAGGCGG
rnacentral:rRNA from 1 species